UCCACCCGCCUCGGCCUCCCAAAGCAGUUCUUGUCUUAAUGGAACUUAAAAUAUAGUACAGAGCAGGAAACUUGGAGCCUGGCAGAUACAAACAUGAAUCCCUCACCAGUCACUCCUAGCUCUGUGAAUGUAUGUA